rnacentral:rRNA from 1 species
UACGUAGGGUGCAAGCGUUGUCCGGAAUUAUUGGGCGUAAAGAGCUCGUAGGCGGUCUGUCGCGUCUGCUGUGAAAUCUCCGGGCUUAACCCGGAAAGGUCAGCCGAUACUGCGGGGCUAGAGUGCAGAAGGGGCAACUGGAAUUCUCGGUGUAGCGGUGAAAUGCGUAGAUAUCGAGAGGGACACCUGCGGCGAAGGCGGGUUGCUGGGCUGAUACUGACGCUGAGGCGCGAAAGCCAGGGGAGCGAACGGG